rnacentral:lncRNA from 1 species
UAGGCUGACAAAGGAUGUCAAAUUCUUUGAACCUCUGACAUCAUCCAGCUCUAACAUCCAACAUGCUGUGGCAGCCUCGUAGAGGAUGCUCCUCAAGGAGGAGAGAAAACACAUCGAUUGAUCUGGCACCCAGGAGACAAGAAAACAAUGAGCAUGCCUGCUAAAGGCUGGAUUGCUCCCAGGCACCCGCCAGGUCUCGGCUGACAGGCUGGGUUCAAGGACUGCUCUCGGUAGAAGGGCCUGGUCCACAAGGCAGGUCCCAACAUGAACUUUCUGCAAGGGGCUUACUCCUGGAAAUACCAGAAAGACUUUGCCAUUACACCAUCUCACUUAUAACACAGUCCUGUAGAAAACGUGCCAAAGACAGCAUCAUGAAGAGAUUCUGGUGG